rnacentral:rRNA from 1 species
ACAGCAGCAGCCACGGGAAUACGUAGGUGGCAAGCGUUGUCCGGAAUUAUUGGGCGUAAAGGGCUCGCAGGCGGUUUCUUAAGUCUGAUGUGAAAGCCCCCGGCUCAACCGGGGAGGGUCAUUGGAAACUGGGAAACUUGAGUGCAGAAGAGGAGAGUGGAAUUCCACGUGUAGCGGUGAAAUGCGUAGAGAUGUGGAGGAACACCAGUGGCGAAGGCGACUCUCUGGUCUGUAACUGACGCUGAGGAGCGAAAGCGUGGGGAGCGAACAGGAUUAGAUACCCCAGUAGUCCCUGUCUCUUAUAC